AACGUAGGAGGCGAGCGUUAUCCGGAUUUACUGGGCGUAAAGCGCGCGCAGGUGGCUUCGUGAGUCGGACAUGAAAGCUCCCGGCUUAACUGGGAGAGGCUGUUCGAUACUGCGGGGCUUUAGGUUGGGAGAGGGACGCGGAAUUCCCGGUGUAGUGGUGGAAUGCGUAGAUAUCGGGAGGAACACCAGUGGCGCAAGCGGCGUCCUGGCCCACACCUGACGCUGAGGUGCGAAAGCGUGGGUAGCAAACAGGAUUAGAUACCCCCGUAGUCCCUGAG
rnacentral:rRNA from 1 species